AACAGGUUGCACGACUGGUUCUCUUCAUUCCACGCUGUACAACACACCAUUCGCCUGUGACCCUGCACACGGACAUUUAAAAUUGUGUCUGACAGCCAAGGGCAAGACUCCCUGCGAAUGGCGACUUAGGGAGUUGGGAAGGAAGAGAAAGAGACAUACAGAGCGCAUCAUGGGACCUCUCUACAGUCGGAGAAGUUAAGGAGGGAAGUGGAGAUUGUGCCAUUUAUGCCACGUCACUGUGCCAUAUUGGAGAUUCUGGAA